rnacentral:tRNA from 1 species
UAAGGUGAUGGCAUAAGGCAAUGGCGCCUCGCUGGAAGCGGGGCGCCAUUGCUGUUCAGGGCAUCACGCGUUUA